UAAAGGUAUUCCGGUAGACGAUGGGGAUGCGUUCCAUUAGAUAGUAGGCGGGGUAACGGCCCACCUAGUCUUCGAUGGAUAGGGGUUCUGAGAGGAAGGUCCCCCACAUUGGAACUGAGACACGGUCCAAACUCCUACGGGAGGCAGCAGUGAGGAAUAUUGGUCAAUGGGCGCAGGCCUGAACCAGCCAAGUAGCGUGAAGGAUGACUGCCCUAUGGGUUGUAAACUUCUUUUAUAAAGGAAUAAAGUCGGGUAUGGAUACCCGUUUGCAUGUACUUUAUGAAUAAGGAUCGGCUAACUCCGUGCCAGCAGCCGCGGUAAUACGGAGGAUCCGAGCGUUAUCCGGAUUUAUUGGGUUUAAAGGGAGCGCAGAUGGAUGUUUAAGUCAGUUGUGAAAGUUUGCGGCUCAACCGUAAAAUUGCAGUUGAUACUGGAUAUCUUGAGUGCAGUUGAGGCAGGCGGAAUUCGUGGUGUAGCGGUGAAAUGCUUAGAUAUCACGAAGAACUCCGAUUGCGAAGGCAGCCUGCUAAGCUGCAACUGACAUUGAGGCUCGAAAGUGUGGGUAUCAAACAGGAUUAGAUACCCUGGUAGUCCACACGGUAAACGAUGAAUACUCGCUGUUUGCGAUAUACGGCAAGCGGCCA
rnacentral:rRNA from 1 species